rnacentral:rRNA from 1 species
UACGUAGGGUGCAAGCGUUGUCCGGAAUUAUUGGGCGUAAAGAGCUCGUAGGCGGUUUGUCGCGUCUGCUGUGAAAACUCGGGGCUCAACCCCGAGCUUGCAGUGGGUACGGGCAGACUAGAGUGCGGUAGGGGAGACUGGAAUUCCUGGUGUAGCGGUGGAAUGCGCAGAUAUCAGGAGGAACACCGGUGGCGAAGGCGACUCUUUGGCCUGUAACUGACACUGAGGCGCGAAAGCGUGGGGAGCAAACAGG